AACUGAUACUACCUGCGGGAACCUGCGGAGGGAUCAUUAUCGAGUUUACAACUCCCAAACCAUUGUGAAUCUUACCUUUUCGUUGCUUCGGCGGGAUCGCCCCGGGCGCUUCGGUGCCCCGGAUUCAGGCGCCCGCCGGGGGACCUAAACUCUUGUAUUAUAGUGGAUUUCUGAGUGGAUUACACAAAUAAUCAAAACUUUCAACAAUGGAUCUCU
rnacentral:misc_RNA from 1 species